GCUACGGCCAUACCAGCCUGGGUACGCCCGAUCUCGUCUGAUCUCGGAAGCUAAGCAGGGUCGGGCCUGGUUAGUACUUGGAUGUGAGACCGCCUGGGAAUAACAGGUGCUGUAAGCA
rnacentral:rRNA from 1 species